rnacentral:lncRNA from 1 species
CGGCUUGAAAGGACUUUCAUCUUUUCUCCACCACCGCAGUCACUCCCCUUGAGAGUCUUCUUGCCCCCAACUCCUUCACAGGUUUCAGAGAAGAUAGAGGUUAAUGAUACUACAUUUGGUGGAAAUGGAAAAACAGAUUAAGGUGAUUAUAUUGGAAAGCCUUUGAGUUUUUCCCUAUGAUUAUGAUGUCAAACUUUUGUAUCGGGUUUACAAACCAUAUUCUUCUAGUAAGGUGGAACAUGAACCUGUGAUCACAUAACCACCGUUAAUUGGGCUAUCGAGUUAUACUCCAAGCCGUGACCGCACAUUAAUAUCUAUCAAGUAUGAGCCGAUGUUAUACUUUAACCCGUGACCGUAUAAGCACAGUGAAGUCCAAGCUUGAGUUGUAAUGUGAUGGGCUUCUAAGGCAAUGGUUCCAUUCCGACACGA